rnacentral:lncRNA from 1 species
CUCCGUCGACCGGACCUCCUCGCCUAUAAAUAGCGGGGCACCACCUCCGUCGAAGGACACACAAGAGGCCAGCAAGCUUAGAGAGGUCCCUGAGAGACUUCAGGGAGCUUAAAGAGCGAGCACGGCCGAAGGAUCGAAGCCGGAAAACUCUGAAGAACUUCCCCCGAGAGACUUCCGGGGAGGUUCGAGAGCGAGCUGGCCGAGAUCUGAGGGAGAUCGGCCG